rnacentral:rRNA from 1 species
AACGAACGCUGGCGGCAUGCCUAACACAUGCCAGUCGAACGAGACCUUCGGGUCUAGUGGCGCACGGGUGCGUAACGCGUGGGAACCUGCCCUUAGGUUCGGAAUAACUCCCCGAAAGGGGUGCUAAUACCGGAUAAUGUCUUCGGACCAAAGAUUUAUCGCCUUUGGAUGGGCCCGCGUUGGAUUAGCUAGUUGGUAGGGUAAAAGCCUACCAAGGCGACGAUCCAUAGCUGGUCUGAGAGGAUGAUCAGCCACACUGGGACUGAGACACGGCCCAGACUCCUACGGGAGGCAGCAGUGGGGAAUAUUGGACAAUGGGCGAAAGCCUGAUCCAGCAAUGCCGCGUGAGUGAUGAAGGCCUUAGGGUUGUAAAGCUCUUUUACCUGGGAUGAUAAUGACAGUACCGGGAGAAUAAGCUCCGGCUAACUCCGUG